GACGAACGCUGGCGGCGUGCUUAACACAUGCAAGUCGAACGGAAAGGCCCUGCUUGCAGGGUACUCGAGUGGCGAACGGGUGAGUAACACGUGGGUGAUCUGCCCUGCACUUCGGGAUAAGCCUGGGAAACUGGGUCUAAUACCGGAUAGGAGCCAUUUUUAGUGUGAUGGUUGGAAAGUUUUUUCGGUGUAGGAUGAGCUCGCGGCCUAUCGGCUUGUUGGUGGGGUAAUGGCCUACCAAGGCGGCGGCGGGUAGCCGGCCUGAGAGGGUGGACGGCCACAUUGGGACUGAGAGACGGCCCAGACUCCUACGGGAGGCAGCAGUGGGGAAUAUUGCACAAUGGGCGCAAGCCUGAUGCAGCGACGCCGCGGGGGGGAUGACGGCCUUCGGGUUGUAAACUCCUUUCGCUAGGGACGAAGCUUUUUGUGACGGUACCUAGACAAGAAGCACCGGCUAACUACGUG
rnacentral:rRNA from 1 species